rnacentral:lncRNA from 1 species
CACUAUUCUGUACUCUUAAUGAUGUACCAGUAUAUUCUGUAUAUAAUAAAGAAUAUGAUUUUAAUAAAUUGGCUUGUUGAAUUUGACGAUUGAUGGUAGUAGGAAGGUAAACGUAUAUGAUAGGUCAGGUGUAGUGGGCGACCAUGGCGGCCAGCGGGACGGUCAAGGUGUCACCCAGCCAACAGGUCCAAUUUUACCUAGAAGUAAACUUAACCUUCUGAUUAACGAUAAUAUGUGAAUGGUGAUGACCGAAGAGACGAAGAGAAAGACAGCAUCAAGCGGGAUCAUGUCCUCCAACGUAUACAGUUAUGGAUGACGCGAGUCCCUUGGAAGAUAUCUGUAUCAUGUUGAUUAAAGAGGGAGAAUGGUUAGCUCCCAAACUGAAGAAGGAAAGUCUUUGGCCCCAUCCAUAUCUACAUACAGUAUUGUACUGUAUUAUGUAUUCAACAUACAUUCCAUCGUGUACUGAGCCAGACUGUGUUACCGGGUACAGUACUUACAAAGAAACACUACACCUUCAAGAAAACCCAUAGAAGUCCACUGUUUUUUGCAAGAGAAGAAUGGAGAUGGAUACCAGCAACAACAAUGAAUGAAAUGAGAGAAAUAUGACAGUUGCCAUCAGUAUAGAACUAACACUCAGAUGCUUAGAAUGCUGACGCCAAAAAUGCAGUGCGUGGCUGAUUGCGAUGGUUGUGACUGCCUUCGUGUCAUUUACCACCUAGAAAUAACUCGGAGACAUGAAAUUGUUAUCUUCAAUAUGGAGAUAAAAGCUAUUUUAGUUUUUAAAAUUGGCAGAGGUGUUAGCCAUAUGUUAAGUAUAAGUAGUGUACAGUAAAAACCCAAUAAUUCGUACCUCUCAAAUUCGAAAUCACUCAUAAGUCUUAAAGUUUUCUUAUUACAAAAUAUUUAUUACAAAUUUCAUAUUUGGUACAAUUUUGAAAUACUGUACUGUAUAUGACAUAUCAAAAUAUUUUGAUACAUACCCUGUAUGUAUAUUACAAUGUUUGUAAUAUCUGGUAAAAUUGUAAAUUACGAGAUAUUUAUGAUUAUGUGUGAUGUCCAUGCAGCCAUUGGAUGCGAACGCCCUACCUUAGUGUAAACAAAUACAAUACUGAACUAUAGGUGUCAUGUGAGCUGGUCAUGGCAUUAAUGUCAGUUCAAGUUGGUCAAUCGUGGAGUGCACAUCUAUGGUCUACUGCACAAGCUUAUUCCACUUGUUUUUCCAUCAUUGCCCACUGUUUGGGCCAUUAUGUCUUACACGGUAACCCUAAAUCUGGUACUGUACUUAGAAAUGUUUAAAUUUUGAUUGGGGCAAAUAACAAAAAAGUACCAAAGUGGUGUUUUUGUUUUUCCUCUCAAAUUAAUGUACAGUAAAGCUUGUUAUAGUGGAUUUGUCAUCAUCAUCAUCAUUCAUGUUUGCUCCAAAAUUGAAAAGUGUCGAGUCUGUCGUCCUCAUAUCUGAAGUUGACCUUUCAUUCCAAACAUUUUGAGUACUGUAUGUUUAUAAAUUCUGUCAGAUUGUGUAUUUAGGGACACAGCUUGUAAUUGCAUCACAGUCUCUUAUCUUCCCUAGGCCCUCUUUCUUUCAGUUUUGUCUUUGAAUUUCCUGACAGUUACAGUAUUUCCUCAUCCCUAAUUAAAUAAUAAAAGUCUCACUUAUCUUAUUCUAUAUAUUUUCAGUUCAGUAUUUCUUUUAUUUCUCUAAUCAGGCUUAAUACUUUUUAAUAUGUUUGCCUAUCAAUAUUGACUAUUAUUUUCCUGUAGUAGCAUAUUUUGAAGGCCUCUAGCCACCUGGUGGCUGCUGAAAGUGUCCAUGCUAGUGACAGAUGAUUGUACAUUGCACUUCAAGCCUAUUUCUCAAAGUAAAAUUAAUUGCCUUUUGUAACAUCUUUAAAACUGGCCCAUGCCAUUUUGGCUAGAUCCAUUUUUUUAAUUUCUCAUUCACAUCAACCAUCACAACUUAAUCACUUCUCAAAUAUUAAAAAAAUUUUGGCUCUUUAAGUUCCCAGCAUAUGUCCUCCUGCCAGGCUGAGGUGCGUUAAUGAUACUCAAAAUUCUCAAUUAUUAAUAUAUACAGUACAGGGGCCCCCAAAUUUGCGGAUUUUUAUUUUGCUGUCCGCUAUUAUUCGCGUAUGACACACUGGAUGUACCCAAGAAUGUGUGUAGGCAGUUUUAAAGUUGCCAGCAUUUUCGCGGCUGGGACAGAGAGCCAUUCGUUCUAGAGACAGUAAUUUUCUUUAUCUGUAUUGUAAA